rfam:Gossypium arboreum cultivar AKA8401 contig_10289_3, whole genome shotgun sequence.
UGGUCAUUUUUAUUAAAAAUUUGUACUGUUAAAAACUGGUCCGGUUAAUGGAAUAACCAAAGAAUGACACGUUGUGUGCCACAUGUAUGUCAUGCUGACAUACAUAGACUAGUUUUUAACAGUAGAAAUAAAUAGAAGGACCA